rnacentral:misc_RNA from 1 species
AUUUGACGUAUGACGUAUCGUAUGGGUGAUCUAUACGCUGUGUGUUUGUGCAAUUAAAAUACAAUUUAUUUUGCUGCGUUUGCUCGUUAUUAUAAUUAAGCCACAAUGACGAUUCACAACUUAUAUAUUUUUGAUCGCUAUGGAACUUUGCUGUACUACGGCGAAUGGAACAGGUCUAAACAAUCGGGGAUGUCGAGAGAGGAAGAAGGCAAGCUGAUGUAUGGCAUGCUGUUUUCAAUCAAAUCCUUUGUAUCUAAGAUUUCCCCACUGGACCCGAAGGACGGAUUCUUGCACUACAAGACUUCAAAAUACACACUACAUUGUCUAGAAACACCAUCAGGAUUAAAAUUUGUCAUGAACACUGACAACCAAGCUCAAGGGGUGCGGGAAUUGUUAAAAAAGAUUUAUGGAGAAAUUUAUGUUCAAUAUGCUAUUAGGAAUCCCCUGUGUGGAAUUGGUGAGCCAAUAACUAGUGAACUAUUUAAAAGCAAACUUGAUGCUUUCAUCAAAACUACUCCAAUUCAUGCAGUGAGAGCUUCAUGAUAGAAAAUAUCAAUAAUUAUAAUAGUUAUUUAUGAUUACAAGUAUUUUAAGGUAUGUGUGUAUUUAAUAUAUGUUAUGUAAUGUGUAAAAAUGUUUUUAUGUUAAGGUUCUUUUAUACUCAUGGAGCUGUAAGAACAGAGGCAACAAAACAGUUUGUGCUCCGCUGCACUACAUAUAGUUAGGCAACUUACUGUAACUCUAAAGCAACAUUAAUUUUGAAUAAAAUUGUAAGCUUUAUUUAUUAAAUGAAUUGUAACAUAA